rnacentral:rRNA from 1 species
UACGGGAGGCAGCAGUGAGGAAUAUUGGUCAAUGGACGAGAGUCUGAACCAGCCAAGUAGCGUGAAGGAUGACUGCCCUAUGGGUUGUAAACUUCUUUUAUAAGGGAAUAAAGUGAGGGACGUGUCCCUUUUUGUAUGCACCUUAUGAAUAAGGAUCGGCUAACUCCGUGCCAGCAGCCGCGGUAAUACGGAGGAUCCAAGCGUUAUCCGGAUUUAUUGGGUUUAAAGGGAGCGUAGGUUGACAUAUAAGUCAGCUGUGAAAGUUUACGGCUCAACCGUGAAAUUGCAGUUGAUACUGUAUGUCUUGAGUGUACAAGAGGUGGGCGGAAUUCGUGGUGUAGCGGUGAAAUGCUUAGAUAUCACGAAGAACUCCAAUUGCGAAGGCAGCUCACUGGGGUACAACUGACACUGAGGCUCGAAAGUGUGGGUAUCAAACAGGAUUAGAUACCCUGGUAGUCCACACAGUAAACGAUGAAUACUCGCUGUUUGCGAUAUACAGUAAGCGGCCAAGCGAAAGCAUUAAGUAUUCCACCUGGGGAGUACGCCGGCAACGGUGAAACUCAAAGGAAUUGACGA